rnacentral:tRNA from 1 species
GCCUGGAUGGCUCAGUCUGUUAAGCAUCUGACUUCGGCUCAGGUCAUGAUCUCAUGACUUGUGGGUUCGAGCCCCAUGUCAGGCU